UUUAUUAAUAGCAGAUACAUACACAAGUACGUACCCAUAACGUAUAAUCACAGACUACACAGACAAGCCACUGCCCCACCGCUGACAAACGAAUAUAGUCUUUAAUUCAAGAGUCCAAACAGCCGAUUUCAAUUAUUUUGCCCUUGAACACAGGAAAAUGACGGUUUAGGAGAAUGUAACUAGAAAAACCAGAAUUUUGACACUUCGGGUCAGAGAUAUUGAACAUAAGUACAUAUAGACAUUUAAACCUCCUUGCUUUGGGUUGACAACAUAACCACAUAUUACCUUAAAAUGGGUCCGACAAAGACGUGUGAAGUGCAACGCACUCCUGCGAGUCCUGCGGCGACAGAAUACACAAUACAAUACAAUAUAAUCAUUCACUCACUUUUAAAAAAUGUAUAAAUUUAAUUAAUAGCAUUCAUAAAUUUUUUAGCUUG